AGAAAUUGCACAUCAGAUUAUUGAACAACAGAUGGGAGAGGAUAGAAUUUUGUGGCAAUAGAAUCGGUAGUUUAAAAGAUUGUUACAGAGCAGCAAACUGGGCAGAAAAUCCAGAUUGUGACAGCACUUGAUCGUACUACCCAAGGCAAGCAGUUCAUUCUGACGAAUCACGACGGCUCUACUCCAAGCAAAGUCAUUCUGGCCAGGCAAGAUUCCACUCCGGGAAAAGUUUUCCUUACAACUCCAGAUGCAGCAGGUGUCAACCAGUUAUUUUUUACCACUCCUGAUCUGUCUGCACAACACAUGCAGGACGUCAUUAUGGAGCAGUAACUUGUGAAGGCUGCAAAGGAUUUUUUAAAAGAAGCAUCCGAAAAAAUUU
rnacentral:sRNA from 1 species